AGAGCAUAAAUGGGUUAAGGAAAUUGAAAUUUGGAUUUGGGAGUGGAAGAGAUCAAGAGAUGGAGAAGGAGAACGAGAGAGAAAUUUAUGUUUACAUGGCUAAGGUUGCAGAGCAAGCGGAGAGAUACGAUGAAAUGGUUGAAUCAAUGAAGAAGGUUGCCAGAUUAAAAGUGGAACUGACAGUGGAGGAGAGGAAUCUGAUGUCAGUUGGGUAUAAGAAUGUGAUUGGGGCGAGAAGGGCUUCAUGGAGGAUAUUAUCUUCGAUCGAGCAAAAGGAGGAGGCCAGAGGGAAUGAGAUAAAUGUGAAGAGGAUAAGAAAUUACAGGCAGAAGGUUGAGGAUGAGCUUUCAAAUAUCUGCAAUGACAUCUUAUCUGUUAUUGAUGAACACCUCCUUCCAUCCUCAUCAACUGGAGAAUCGACGGUUUUCUACUAUAAGAUGAAGGGAGACUAUUAUCGAUAUGUGGCUGAAUUUAAAACAGGGAAUAACCGUAAAGAGGCUGCAGAUCAGUCACUCAAGGCCUAUCAAGCUGCUACUAGUACUGCAACAACGGAUCUGCCACCAACUCAUCCUAUCAGACUUGGCCUGGUCCUGAACUUUUCAGUAUUUUAUUAUGAGAUAUUGAACUCCCCUGAAAGAGCAUGCCAUCUGGCUAAACAAGCAUUUGAUGAAGCAAUUGCGGAACUUGAUACCCUUAAUGAAGAAUCUUACAAGGACAGCACCCUUAUAAUGCAGCUUCUUAGGGAUAAUCUCACAUUAUGGACCUCAGAUUUGCCAGAUGAGUGAGGGCUCUUAUGGCUUUGUCUUCGUGGGUCAAGCAAGGAGCUCAUCAUCAACAGAAGCCCAACGUACCCGCUCUGAUACCAUGUUAAAGCUUCUAUCUUAAAACCAAUUGGCUUAAAGUGGGGUGGCCUCUUGUGGCUCUUAUACAAGAUAGUUGAGUUACCCACAGUCGAUGUGGGACUAUCUCAAUACUUAUCAUAAGUGGCAAAUUGUCAAUGGAUUUCUUGUGCGGAAAUACUUGGCCCAGACGGGUGAAUGAUUCUUCUGGGACUGUCAAGGGUGGAUGAAUUAGUAUAGCAGCAUUGAGACCCAUUACUACUGGCUUGUAAUAAGUGUAAAAUUGUGAUUUAAGAUUAUUGUCUUUGUUUGUUUGUUUGUUUGUUUGUUUUUUUUUUUUUUUUUUUUUUUUGUUUUUUUGUUUUUUUUUUUUAACACAUUAGAUGUUCUAUGGAGUUCGGUGAAGUGGUUUAUUGUGAGAUCAACCAUAUUUGUUUAAAAUUAAAUUUAUUUAGUGAGUCUGUGAAAGGAAACUGGUUCACCUUGUAGUAGUCUCCCAUGUGUCUUUUCCUCAUUUUUUUUUGUUUAGCUUCUCUUUUAUAAUUGUCUGCACAUUAUUGACAUUUAACUUUGAGAUUAUAAUAUUUUGUUUACUGUAA